CAUCAUCGAACGUGAUGGAGAACAGCUACGAGGCAGUUUACAAAUAUGAGUAUUACAAACCAAAAACACGGUUUCCUGUGUUAAAAUCACAUUUGUUGAGCUACUGUAGAGUAAACUGUUGAUUUGCUGAAGGUGUAAAGAGGCUAGACAGUAAAGUUACAGUAUAUUUGUGAUUUUGCUGUAAAAACACGUCUCAUUAUGUGUAGCGAACAGCAGAGCUCCAGUAAACGCAUGCACGUCUCCAGAGUGCAUUUACAUAAACCAUAUACAUCUUAAAGACGAUUACUAAAUGUCUAUUUAAUAUGAGACAGGAAAAUGUACUAAAAGAAUUACAGAUGAGCACAUCACAACAUGAACACACAUCUGAGUGAGAGAUGUAUGUGUUAUUAUGUAGAAAUCACUGUCAACACUGCUUUAGAUGAAUGUAAUGUAAAUAUACAAAUCUACGUGGAGUAACUAAACAUAAGUUUUCUGUUUUAUUUGUCCAUUAGUAUUGUAGAUAAACUGAGGAACGUUUGUGUUGAAUAAAAAGUGAGUUAACGCAUCAGCGUCUACCUCAACAUGUAAAUGCAGUAUUGAUCAGAUAAAUCACAGCUGACUGACUCUUGUCUGAUGUUACAGAGACACACGAGUGUUUAUCUGCUGAAGACUGACUGAUGGAGGAAUGCUGCCAUCAAAGCCUCUCAGGACCCCGAUCCCCCCGCAGCAGCUCGGAGUAAAGACACCGGUGGUGACGACUGCAGAGAUCAAACCAGCAACCUUCUGCUGACCAAUUCAUUACACCACAAAAGUAGUUGUUCUCAUGGAGAGCAGCACACAGAUGUUUGAAGCAGACACAGGAACUAGAUUGUCCCGCACACGUUCUUCUGCUCUUGUUCAAGAUUGUGUGGUUCAGGGAGCCUCAUCCUCUCUGUGCUCUCAGACAAUGAUAGCCUCGAUGUCCCUUUCUCAUCCAUGAUCAGAUUCAGUGUGACUGCAGCAGUGAGGGACGUGAUGGACGGCAGAGACUGAUGAAGGUGGACGUGGUGGUCUUCAUCAGAAUAAAGCUGCAGAACUGGCUCAGCUGUGUUGAGAUGGCAGUAGGAUGUGGGCUCACCGUCUGUAAAUACAUGAUUGUUAGAACAAUACGUUUGAAUAAAGCUUUGUUUCAUGUGUUGUUGACUUGUAUUUAUUUAUUGUCAUGGUUACUUUUAUUUACAUUUUACUCAUUUAUUCAUGUUUCCUGUUGUUGUCAG